GCCUGGGACUGACCAGGAGGCUGUGACAAUUUACCCUCCACACAUAGGUAUAGCCCUGAGUCUUAGGUUCACAGGUUAAAGCUACAACAUUCUUAUUCUCCAUGGGGUUGAAAUUGUUGCUGGUGAUGUAGGGCUUGGGCAGCUCCACUGUGUGGAUAACAGAGAGAAGUUUGUCCUCUGUGGCACCUUUGAUUCCUCCACAGGCAUCCUUCAGUCAGAGUUGGCAUCUCCCACAACUAAGCCCACCCGAGUCCUUGAAAGUCAAUAGCUGGUGUGUGUGUCACAAGACAGAUGCAUGAUGAUCUAAUGGCUCAAAGACUAUGAGGCUGCCUGUUCUGUCUUAGGGAAGCACAGACUUUCUCAAGUGCGAAAUGAACAGCAGUGUUGGCUCAUGGACAGACACGUCAGUGGGAGCCACAGCCCCUGUUACACCUCCCAAUCCCUCUCUAAUCAACUGACUGACUGGCUCACCUUGGGUUCCUUACCUGGAACAUGCAACUGCUGGGCCCCUUCCAAAUGCCAUCCUACUUUGCCCCGCUAGAUGUGAUUUCUCUGCAGCUUCCAUUUCCAAAGACAUUCUAGAGAUGAGUAAUAAUGGGACUUCCCAUUGUCCUGAAACCCUGAAGAUACUGGGCAGCCUGGCCUGGGACUGGGUGUUUCAACAGAAAGAAGACAGGAGAGACCAGAGUCAAACCUGGAGGUCAGUUCAAUCAUCAGGCUGUGGUGGCACAAGGUGGGGCAGAUUUUUGCAGGUGUUUCAUGAUGACUUGAGCCAGUGACCUCGAAAGAUAGAGCAGAGUGCAAGGAAUGAUCUAGAAAGAGUGAAGGGGACAGGCAAAAGCUGGUUGUUUUGGAGCAGAAACACAUUCCCUGUCCUGGGUUUUUGAUUUUCCCUCUCCCUUUGCAGAGGGCAGGUGGCUCUUCCCUGAUAGCCAGAUAGACUUCACUGGAAAACAUAUUGCCAAUGCUUCAGGGAUCCACUUACCAGGGACUAUGACCCUCUUGAUUAUGAGAUUUGUUCCAUCAGUGGCUGAGCUAUGCAUGAAACAGAUAUAGACCCCUCUAUAUAUUUUGGUGAUGUGGGGGAUAAAGAACACUUGUGCUGAUUUCUGGAACUUCCCAUCAAUCAGCUAAGGAUGCUCUGCCAGUGGGUGAGAGUCUGUGAGGCAGGAGAGCUUGGGAACUUCCCCUGGAUGGUAAUAGGUGUAUGAAGAAGAAAUGGUGGAGGCAUCCAGGAUAUCUGGAGCAAAGAGAAUAAAGUCACAGGUGAUGUUGUUACAGGGAAGGGAAAAUCCUGGUCUGUGGAAGGGCUACAGUGACCCUCUGAGCUAAGUCACAACACUGAAGUCCCAGCCAAAUCCCUGCUGUGUUCACUGAUCUGCAGCUUGAGACAUUCACCUGUUUCUCCCAUCAUAAUCUGUGGACCCUGAGUCUCCCAUGACUGGAGCAGCCUCUUCACUCCCACUGUCGAUCAAGCCUAAACCUACUCUUAGUAGUCAUGGCCAGCUUUGAUGUCCAGGGGUAAAGGUCUCUGUACUUGCACCUGAGAGGGAGUGAGAGGCCAUGUGUAUUUGGGAUGGCAGCCUGGCUCACAGAGGAACAGAAGAUACUCACAGAGAAGAUUCAGGGUGACUGGGUCACUGCGGCUGGAACUCACUGGGUUCUUCAUUUCACAUUCAUAGGGUCCUGCAAUAUCCUUUGUGACACCAUAUAGCAUGAGGAUCCUGUUGUUUUCGCACAGCUGCCACGGGCGACUGAUAGGGAGGCUCUGACCAUUUAUCCACCACAGGUAGCUUACGUCCUGAGUGUCAGGAUCACAGGAUAAGAUCACAGUCUCCGUGCCCUCCCUGGGGUUUAAGUUGCUGCUGGAGAUAUAGGGCUUGGGAGUCUCCACUGUGCAGAUAACAGAGAGAAGAUUGCCCUGUGUGGCACCUUUGAUUCCUCCAAAGACAUUUUUCAAUCAGAGAUGGCAUUUCCCACUUCUCAGCCCACCCAAGUCCUUAAAAGCCCACGGCAGAUGUGUGUGUUACAAGACAGAUGCAUAGCAAUCUGAGGGCUCAUAGAUUGUGAGGCUGCCUUCUGUAUGUGGGAGAAGCACACUUUUUCUCAAGUGUGAAUUGAGCAGCAGCAUUAUGUCAUGGAAACACAUGAGACCAGCAGUCACAGCCCCUGGUGCCUCUCUGAGUCCCUCCCUCUCCAACUGCAUGCGUGGCCCACCUUGUGGUCCUCACUUGGAGCAUGCAGUGCUGGAAUCUUCUUAGUUUCAGUCUUACUUUGCCCCCCAAGGUAUGUUUACUCUGCAGCUUCCCUUUCCAAGGGCAUCCUAGAUAUGGAUGAUGGAACUUCCCAUUGUCCUUAAACUCUUUGAGUACUGGGAAGCCUGGCCUGGACUGGGUACUUCAGCAGAAAUAACACAGGGGAGACCAGAGUCAAGCCUGGAGCUCAGUUCAGUCAUCAGGGAAUGGAGCCACAAGGUGAGGCAGCUUUCCCAGCUGUCUUAUAGUGACUGACUUGAGCCAGUGACCUCUAAAGAUAGAGUAGAGUCCAAGGAAUGACCUACAAACAGUGAAGGGGACAGGCAAGAGCUGACAGUUUUGGACCAAGACCAUGUUCCCUGUUCUGUAUCCAUGAUGCUCCCUUCCCAUUGUAGUGGGCAGGUGAGGACCAUGUGGAUCUUUCUAGAAAUACAUGUGGAUGUUUGCAAAUGCAGAACUGACUGGUGGAAAAGGCGAGCAUGAACUGAUGAUGGAAGUCUGGCCCUCAUGGACCGUAUGUGUUUGGUGGCUAUUAGACUAAUAUUUGGGAAGAAGUCCUGCAUAUACUUUUUCUCAUUAGACAUUCUACUCUGUGAAUGUUCUGUGAGUUUGACUACUCUAUGUACCUCAUCUCAGUGGAUUCCAGAGAGAAUCAGAGAGUAGAUUAGCAGUUUCCAGGAGCUGGAGUCGGGGGAAUAGGGCAUUGUUCCGUGGGUGUGUGGUUUCAGUUAUGCAGGAUGAGGAGGCUAUAGAGAUCUCCUGUACAGCUUCAUGCCUAUAGUUCAUAAGAUAAAGUGUUCUUUAUGCAGAAAGCUUAAAACCAGGUGUUUUGGAGUUCUAACUUUUUUUAUUUUGGGAUAUUUGCAGUAGAUGUAUUGGGUUAGCAUCCCAAAUCUGAAAAAUUUAAAAUCCAAAAUGCUCCAGUGAGCACUUCUUUUUAGCAUCACAUCAGAGGUCAGAAGUGUUGGAUUUUAGUGCAUUUCAGAUUUUGGAUUUCUGGAUUUGGGAUGCUCAAUUUGUAAUACUGUAAUUUUCCCAUAAAAAGUUGUCAGGAGUUUAGACCUCAUGUUAUGAUCUGACUCUAGUAACAAAA